GAUGAACGCUGGCUACAGGCUUAACACAUGCAAGUCGAGGGGAAACGGCAUUGAGUGCUUGCACUGAAUGGACGUCGACCGGCGCACGGGUGAGUAACGCGUAUCCAACCUUCCCGUUACUGCGGGAUAACCUGCCGAAAGGCAGACUAAUACCGCAUGUUCUUCGAUGACGGCAUCAGAUUCGAAGCAAAGAUCCGUCGGUAACGGAGGGGGAUGCGUCUGAUUAGCUAGUUGGCGGGGCGACGGCCCACCAAGGCGACGAUCAGUAGGGGUUCCGAGAGGAAGGUCCCCCACAUUGGAACUGAGACACGGUCCAAACUCCUACGGGAGGCAGCAGUGAGGAAUAUUGGUCAAUGGGCGGAAGCCUGAACCAGCCAAGUAGCGUGCAGGAUGACGGCCCUACGGGUUGUAAACUGCUUUUAUGCGGGGAUAAAGUGAGGGACGCGUCCCUUUUUGCAGGUACCGCAUGAAUAAGGACCGGCUAAUUCCGUG
rnacentral:rRNA from 1 species